ensembl:lncRNA
GAUUUUGAGGCUCAGUUUGUUACUAGACCUGGUGAUUCUGAGUUAAGAGGUAGGAACACUCUGGAGUGGUCACACCAAGAUGUGGGUAAUGAAGGGUCAGAGUCAAGGUUAGGGGAAGGCUUCUCACAACUACUAAUAACUGGCAGGGGUGGGAUUUGAACCCAGGUCUUACUCUACUAGCUGAGAACCACACUGCUCUUGGGACACUGAAGACUCGACUCUGCAGGGCAAGCCCACAGAGCUCCCUGGGUUUCCCAGAAUGACUCUGGGGCCAUCAUUUGGCCCCUCUGUUGUUGACUCCCAGAUCCUGGAUGCUACCUCAGCUUACUUCCUUGUGCCUGGUUAGGUCUCUCUAGGCUCUUUUGGAGGUCUCUUCUCCUGGGAACAUUUCCAAAUCUGAAACUGAGGACUUGAGCCUUCUCCCUCUCACAGCAUCCUGGAUAUAUAUCAUAGUACAGUACUUCCUGUCUGCUAAUUAUCCACUUCCUGUAUUCCAUGAUGGAGUUGCUCUAGGCAGUGUGGACAACCUAUCCCUGUAUCCCACUGCCCCCUUAAUUUGCCCAUCCUAAACCUUUGACACAUGUCUGUUCAAUAAAUGAAUGGACACGUGUCUGAAUGACCACAUCUAAAAAUGCCUCACAGUUAUUAUGCUGUCUUGCAUUAGAAGAAAAGAUGUGCUACAUGUUUGAGACUUUUUUUUUUAUCAUGGUUACUCUAAAGGAUUGAAAUGUUCUUCAAUUACCUCUGACUAUAAUUUUUUGACAUCUUCAGCCUGAAACAGUAUCUAGCAGCUUUCCACUGUGCCUGUGUGGGAAACUUCCUGAGGGCACAUUUUGGGUGAAUUAUAAACUUCUCUUGCUCUGUGUCUCAAAUAGGUGUCCCACUUUUUUUUUUUACCUUUCACAGUUGUUGAAGACAAUAAAGAUUUUAAACUUCACCUUCUUGACCUGAAUCUGAAAAUAAUGGCUUUCUCCUCCCAGUUCCAAUUCCAGCACUUAGAUGGAGUGACGGAAGAAGGAGCUCUGAGUUAGGGGAUACUCCCAACCCAGGGUCUCCCACAUUACAGGAAGAUUGUCUACCCUUGAGCCACCUGGAAAACCCCUGGAAAGGGAAGGAUAGCCCCCAAACCAGGCACAAGAUUCAACCACUCCCAGCUCAUCCUUCUGAAGACUACCGGAUCCCAGGACCCUGAUGCAAGGUCGAAGCGUUGCAAGAAACUGGUGAGACAGAGGCCCUGUCGCA